rnacentral:sRNA from 1 species
GCCGGGCAUGGUAGUGCAUGCCUGUAGUCCCAGCUACUCAGGAGGCUGAGGCAGGAGGAUUGCUUGAGCCCAGGAGUUUGAGGUUGCUGUGAGCUAGGCUGAUGCAUUGGCACUCUAGCCCAGGUAACAGAGUGAGACUCUGUCUCAAAGAAAAAAAAAAAAGCAGCUCUGGCCAGGUGUAUGCAGCUCAGACUACAUAAGCAGCAGCAGAAGCAGCUCAGACCAGCCUGAGCAAGAGUGAGACCCUGUCUCU